CAGGAUGAACGCUAGCGACAGGCUAACACAUGCAAGUCGAGGGGCAGACAUAAAAGUAGCAAUACUUGGUGGCGACCGGCGCACGGGUGAGUAACGCGUAUGCAACCUACCUAUCAGAGGGGAAUAACCCGGCGAAAGUCGGACUAAUACCGCAUAAAACAGGGACACCGCAUGGUGAUAUUUGUUAAAGAAAUUCGCUGAUAGAUGGGCAUGCGUUCCAUUAGGUAGUUGGUGAGGUAACGGCUCACCAAGCCGACGAUGGAUAGGGGAACUGAGAGGUUGGUCCCCCACACUGGUACUGAGACACGGACCAGACUCCUACGGGAGGCAGCAGUGAGGAAUAUUGGUCAAUGGGCGAGAGCCUGAACCAGCCAAGUCGCGUGAAGGAAGAAGGAUCUAUGGUUCGUAAACUUCUUUUGCAGGGGAAUAAAGUGCAGGACGUGUCCUGUUUUGUAUGUACCCUGAGAAUAAGGAUCGGCUAACUCCGUGCCAGCCGCCGC
rnacentral:rRNA from 1 species